CAUCUAUGACUUUUUUAUAUAUGCAUAUAUAGCAUACCACAUAGUGAGAGGCUCCAAGAAGCGAGAAAUACAAUAAUAUUUGUUGUUGUACUCUCUAUAACAUAUAUGGCAUGGCUUCCAGUGGUAUUCAAGAAAGUUGUGUUUGAUCUUUGAAGAUCUGUCCUGAAAAUGAUUGAUAUCUUUGCACUUUAUUGUCACUGAUCAAAUUCAGAUAUCAAACAUUUCUUUGUUGUCUUCUUCUGUUUUUUAAGACUAUCAUUGUCUGAAACUCCUGGUUUGGUAAGAAAAUUAUUGCACCAGACCAAGUCCCCUGGAUGAAGUCUUGUUGGACUGGACACAAUCUUAAUCUUGGGGUCCUAAUUCUUACGUCCUUUUGGUUUUUCUUGUUUUUCCUCCGCUUAAUUCUUUCUCUUUUUCUUUUGAGUUGAAAUGUGUUCUUUUUCCAGGUCAUAGCGUAAUCAAGAUCAGGUGAUGAUUGUGAUUCUGAUUCUUGAGUCUUUGUUUGCCUUGAACUAGGAGCUUUGUCAUUCUUGUUCUUCAGAAAUUUUGCAGUGAAGAGAGGAACAAACAUGAACGUGAUACGAGAAACGCGGGGACGAUCUCACCCUUUGACUGAAAGACAAAUUAAGGCCCAUGAGAUUUAAAAUAAACUUCAACAUGGGACCCCAAACGGAGUUUUCCUUGGCGGUGGUGCGACAGUCGUGCAAGAGGCUGAGCUCUGUCUGAGGCUGGUGGCUGCAGUCAAACGAUGAAAGCUUUGGAGAAUAUUUGGGUGCUCUGGAAAAUGGCUUCAUUUUCUAGCAGCCAUUUGCGCUCAAGGGCAACUGUAAAAGCUCCUCCUUCGCCGGUACUUCAUGUUUUGCAGGGCGCUAUCCAUUUCCUUUGAUGUCACAUCACAUUAGAUAUUGAGGGUUGUGGUGCUGGUGGAGGAGGAGGGGGAGCGGUGGCGGUGAGGGGUGGUAGCCAGCGCAAAUGGUGGGAGUGAUAUUGGCGGGACGGCUCAAUCUGAUUAUGUUACAUAUGGUAAUAUAUAUGAUCUUUAAUUUAGUUCAUGGUAAACUGAACUAUGAUUUUGCCUAAUGAUGGUGUUUUGUAAAGAAUGGUAUGUCAAAGAUUUGUCCCAAAUUGUUAGAAUUUUGCAAUUCUUUUUUCUACACCAACAGAUUGCUGCAUCCUGGGAAUAGAAAGCUAUCUCUUCAGUUCUGGAAAAUGUGAAAAAUGAUAGUCCAAGUUUUGCUGUCUCAUUUGGGCUUUGAUCUAUCCUCAAUGUUAGCAAUAAUUUGCCUUACAAGUUCCAC